CGGGGCGUAGCGCAGCCUGGUAGCGCAUUUGGUUUGGGACCAAAGGGUCGAGAGUUCAAAUCUCUCCGCCCCGA
rnacentral:tRNA from 1 species